rnacentral:sRNA from 1 species
AUCACGGCUUCGUCACCGACGCCGCAUUUUCGCCCCGAUCGGGCCAAGCGGGCGCCCUGUUGCAUGAGUGAAAUGGCAAUGUUGCCUCGACGGCUCGGCUCUGCCGGUUUUCGGUUUGUCAGCCCCCCAGCCCCCCGAAAAUCUGGCGGGGUCGAGCCAUCGAGUCGAGGCCAACUCAGCGGCUGGCGCCCUGCGCCGGCCGUUUU